rfam:Triticum aestivum genome assembly, contig: Triticum_aestivum_CS42_TGACv1_scaffold_307993_4AS
GAGAUACUCCCUCCGUUCCGAAUUACUUGUCUUAGAUUUGUUUAAAUACGGAGGUAUCUAGUACUAAAAUGAGUCUAGAUACAUCCGUAUCUAGACAAAUAUGAGGUCGGAACGGAGGGAGUAACUA